UGAAGAUUGGAGGGGAUGAGUCAGGGGCAAGGAAGGAUUAACAGAUUCUGCCUCAAGUCCUGGUGAACCAACUCCUCUCCCCAAGACAGACACAUACUAGUGAAAUAAAUUGGAUUUAAAUCAUCACCUGAGGCAAUCCUGAAAGAGAAAAGCAGUCCUAGAAAAGAGUGGAGGAAAAGAGGACAGCCCCAUUCUCUUUGUGACCACGAAGACUGCCGCCAUGUGGUUGGGAGCCACGUAACUUCUUUUAGUGCCAGCUGAGAUUCUUCUGCCCUGGAACUAGUUCCUCCGAGUUAUUGCCAGGCCUGGAGAUUGAAUUCCUGCAGCUGGAAGGUGGGGAAAGUUGCCAGAGCGAAGGAAGUAAAAGCAUCCACUAUGAGAUUCACCAGAGGGGUUUGACCAGCUUUAGAAGGAGAAUCCUGGACAACAACACAUGCAGCUGUGAAGGCGACAAGUGUGACACUGACAGCCAACUGAAAUGGAAGGAAUGUGAAGAUGCUGUCAUAAACAUUUCUACCGCAUGUGACAGCUUUAACAAUACUUGCAAGGUCGUCAUCGCAAAAUGUUGUGAGCACCUACCAUAUGCCAGGCACUGUUCAGUGAACUGGUUGUACAGGAGUGAAUGAGAUCAUCUUGAUUUUGAGAAGUUUAUAAUCUACUCAAGGGAAACACGUGUAAUCAACUAUGUUUCAGACAUAACCCCUCAAAACCAAAGCAGAACCUCUUCAAGGAGCUGAGAGAUGCAAGCCUGGAGGAAACAACAUUCACCCCAAAGACUCAGAUGAAGAGGCUUGAAGGAUGGGAUCAUUCUGGAGGAGAAAAGCGGGGCAGCAUCAAACCCCUCCCACUGGGGCAACCUGCUGAGCAUCUCCCUGGCCUUGGCCCCUGGCCAUACCACACAAGUGUCCAAUGAGUCACUGAUCCUGAAGAACAAGAGAAGACUGACCACAGACCCCAAAAGGAAGCAGGAGUACAACCUUCGAAGUUGGUGGGCAACAAGAGGUCAGAGGUUGACAAGCAUCCACACAGCUCUAAGACUAGCAUCAUGUGGCUACCCAGGACCUGGGAGAGUGCUGCAGAGCAGGAGCAGGAAAGGGACCGGCUGUUCCCAUAGAACUUCAUGUCACAGGUCUGGGAGCCAGGGGGCCUUGGUUCUAGUCCCAACUCUCCCUCUAAGUUGUCUUAUGGCCACAGCAAUGAACCAAGACAAUGAGAAGUAGCGAGUACAGUUGAGGAGGCCUUGUCUGAGGAGGAGGCAGGUUUUCAUGAAGAUGCAGCAGAUCAUCUGGGAGAAAUUGAGAAUGAGGAAGGACUUGAUAAUAGGGCAUCUUAGUUCUGCUGAACACUCCUGAAUAAAGGGGAGGCCACAAGUCCCCACAUCUGGAUAAGGAGCCCAGUUGGUGGGCAUGGAACGGACCUUGACACAGAAGAGAAUGGAGAUAUGGGAGCCAUGUCCUGGAACCCUGGCUUGGUGUUGAAAUAAAUUAGAAGCUGACUUGCUGUGCAGCUGGUAAAGCUUCCACUUCGGGGCCCUUCAGUUGCAUGGGCCUUUCCCAAGACCCCAGGGAAGGGCUUAGCAAUAUGCUCACAUGGUCUGAUGUUCUUAUAUGCAAACAAUUUUUUUAGAGAUAUCUUAAAUAUGCUUGCUCAACACCUCUGUCCACUUCUGCCUUCCCUCCAUCCUUCUUCUUCUUGCCUUGAGUGUGUUUGGAGAUCAUGGGGGCUUUGA
rnacentral:lncRNA from 1 species